UCUUGAAUCUAUCCUCAACAGGAAGAUUCUUAAACAUCUAUCACUUCACAACCUAUCUAAUUGCCAGUAUGGGUUCCAUCAAGGCCACUCUACUGGUGAUCUGGCUUUCCUUACUGAGUCUUGGUCAUCCUCUUUUAUAGAUUUUGGUGAAACUUUUGCUGUUGCCUUGGAUAUGUCAAAAGCUUUUGAUAGUCUGGCACAAAGCUUUGAUUUCCAAACUACCCUCCUAUGGCUUCUAUCCUCCUCUCUGUAACUUCAUUUCAAGUUUCCUUUCUGAUCAUUCUAUUGCUGCUGUGGUAGACAAUCACUAUUCUCAUAAAUCUAUUAACAGUGGUGUUCCUCAGGGUUCUGUCCUGUCACCCACUCUCUUAUUAUUCAUCAAUGACCUUCUAAACCAAACUUCUUGUCCUAUCCACUCCUACGCUGAUGAUACCACUCUGCACUUUUCCACGUCUUUUCAUAGACAUCCAACCCUUCAGGAAGUAAACAUUUCACGCAAGGAAGCCACAGAAUGCCUGACUUCUGAUCUUUCUAAAAUUUCUGAUUGGGCAGAGCAAACUUGGUAUUGUUCAAUGCCUCAAAAACUCAAUCCCUCCAUCUAUCAACUCGACACAACCUUCCAGACAACUAUCCCUCUUCUUCAAUGACACUCAACUGUCCCCCUCUUAUACACUGAACAUCAUCGGUCUGUCCUUUACUUAUAAUCUAAACUGGAAACUUCACAUCUUAUCUCUAGCUAAAACAGGUUCUAUGAAGUUCUGAGACGUCUCUGCCAGUUUUUCUCACCCCCCCAAUAGCUACUAACUCAGUACAGGAGCCUUAUCCGUCCAUGUAUGGAGUAUGCUUCACAUGUCUGGGGGGGGUUCCACUCAUACCGCUCUUCUAGACAGAGUGGAAUCAAAAGCUUUUCGUCUCAUCAACUCCUCUCCUCUGACUAUCUUCUGCCUCUCUCUCAUCGCCUCAAUGUUGCAUCUCUAGCCAUCUACUGCUAUUUUCAUGCUAGCUGCGUGUCUCCCCUCCCGCGGCCUCGCUGCACGAGACUUCCUUUUCUCACCCCUAUUCUGUCCACCUCUCUGAUACAAGAGUUAACCAGUAUUCUCAAUCAUUCAUCUCUUUCUCUGGUAAACUCUGGAACUCCCUGCCUGCUUCUGUAUUUCCACCUUCCUAUGACUUAAAUUCCUUCAAGAGGGAGGUUUCAAGACACUUAUCCUUCAGUUUUUGACUACCGCUUUGGACCCUUAUCUGGGAGUGGAAUCUCAGUGAGCUUUUUUUUUUUUUUAAUUGGAUUUUUGUUGCCCUUGGCCAGUGUCCCUCCUACAUAAAAAAAAAAAAAAGCAUGUUUGCGCCAUGAACAAAAUAAUGCUUCAAGAUCUUUGCUAAAAGCGACAGUACUUGCCUGAGACUCCCUAUGGCGCACUUGCAUAAAUGGCCGAUGCCAGGUUAUGUGUGUUUACCAUUGAAUUGGACGGACACAAGCACAUAGCUAAAUACCUAUCAGCACAAGCCUGCAACUAAAUAGAAUACUUGCUAGAAGUGUGGAUGGAGUGUCCACCAGGUUGGUAGAGUGUUGAGAAGGAGCUUGUGAAUUGAAUGCUUGCUGGAGUCACACUCGAACGGAGAGCGGGCACAUUUUGAAGCCACUGUUUUGAAAAUAACUGAUUUCCCGCUUGUCGAGCGGUGAGCGAAUUGAUAUCGCUUUGCUCCGGAAUGGUGAAUCCGCUCGACUCGUAUCCUCAUCGUUUCAUCCACUCAUCACGGUGGACUGUUAUAAUUUUAAAGAAUUCUCAUCACCACUAAUUUUGCUGUUGGAACGAUAGUUCUGACACCCUCUCCGAUUCUUUUUAGCUUUUUUCAAAUCCUUCACUUUUAGGUUUUUGAGGAUGGUAUCACACUAGAUUAAUAUGAUAGGGCCAAAACAAGACUUGUACUGCGUGAAGCGCCGAAACCACAGCUCCUUUGCCAGACGUAUUGUAUUCGGAGUUGAUGUGUGGCUUUUGCCAUUCUGCGGUGCACCUGAGCGACGUGCAGAAAUAAGGUUAUAUGCGUCAUGGUCAGCCUCUGGUUACCGUACUCGUGACUGCUGCAGAACCUCUCAGCGCUGACAGCCCCGAUGUCCUUGGCAGAUACAAGAACAUUGGCGCAAGAAGGAACCUCGGAGCACAUACGUUAACUCAAUGAAGGCUGGAAGAUGAAUAACGGAGUGGCAGUCGUGGCGCAGGAACGCAGAGGAGCGUACAUGCGGGGCGGCUAUCGGAGUAGUGAUGAAUAUUGUGUGGUAGUUGUUUAAUGAGUCGGUGACUUUUUUUUUUCAUAUCAUUGAGCUAAUGUACUACAUUAGCAGAUUUCAUAUUAUGUAGGUACUACAUGAGACAGGUGAUGUGUGAUAAAUAAAGUGUUAUGCCUAUUUAGAAAGAUUGUGGAAAAAUAUGUAUGUAUAUGGAUUUGAAGAGAAGUUAAAGGAAUAACAAGUUUUAAUAUAGGCAGAGUUCUUGAAUAAGCAAGAAGGAAUGUUUAGGUUGGGAGAGAUGGAGGUUCUUGUGUUGCUGAAUGUUGACAUUCCUACUGGAGAGAGGUAGAUAAAGUAAUUAUUAGGCAAAUACCGGUCACUUACGAGAAUCGAGGCAGGCUGAGGAAUAGGUGCAAAUAGAGCUUUCCGUAAGAUCCCAAUGGUAUUGAUAAACUACUGCUCUAUCAUGACUAACAAACAUCAAUGGACAACAUCUCUCUCAAAUCAGCUUGCCACAAAUGUCUCUACUAAUAUGAUGCAGCUUCUGCACAGGACUGCACUCCCAUCCCUCACAUAUGGUAAAAAUAUUAUUGCAUACGGUUCUUUUUGUUCAAAUACAAAAACUGAAUGAAUUACUUUAUAAAUGAUUUAAAAAAUACUAAUUUAUUUACAUAAUUUAUCCCAUUGGCAAGUGUUCAUGUAAAACAGGAAAUUUCUCUCUAAACCCUUCCCUCUUCAGGGGACCCAUCUACUGUCACACACACUGAUUUAUACUGCACAGACAAAGUGGCUGGCAUCAAACCUGCUGCUGCUCUGUUUUAUAUAGACAGCAAAAUUAACUAAUCUGUAUUGGACAUAUGUUUAGCUGAGAGGACCACUCGGGGGUGUCUUUAGGAUUCUCAUGAUUGUUUACUCACUUGCUGUGAAUUCCUGGGUUAUUUGAACAAUUCUGGGCACUAGUGUUGUCAGUGCUUCCUUUAUGAUGGAUCCAUCACUAUCUUCCUCAUGGUAGGGAUGGUUGUGGACAGCUAAUGUGAGUUGCUUGUCUUAGCCGAGGGAUGAUGUUGGGAUUUCUCGGCCGAGCCAGCUAUUCAGCAGCAGUUGCUACAUUGUGUGACCAUGGCACUGGUCUUUGUUACCCAAAUUUGCUAUAGUAACCAUCAUCCCAUUUUUUCCUCUUCUGCCAUGCUACACCACUGCUCUGUCAAGGAUACAUGGCAUUUUGAUUGAUUAAUUGUAGAGGAAAUGUUAACGUAGAACAAGAACAUAAAAAAAAAAUAAUAAAUUAAAAAUAUGUGAAGACAAAUUCUAUGAAUCAUGAACCCUAUUACAUGAUACAUAUCAGCCAUGUGACUUCUUACCAUAAGUAAGUAAAUAAUGAAUAAACUGAUAAAUGAACAAAUAAUAAUAAUAAUAAUAAUAAUAAUAAUAAUAAUAAUAAUAAUAAUAAUAAUAAAUAUAUAAAUUAGUCAAUAAAUAUCUUUUUACUGUCAAAAGGAAUAGGAAAUGAAAGUGAGCAAGGACUUUUUAUACAUUUUUAUUUCUAGUAGAUUCAUAACAAAACUUUGAAAAUGAAGCUUGAUUAUGAAACACUUGUCAAUUUUUAAUUGAAAAUAUAAUGAUCAAUUAGCAAGAUCAAAAUAUGUAAAUGUUGAAAUGCCAGAACUCAGAAGUCAUGUCAAAAUAUACUUGAUAAAUGUCAGCAAAUUAUAUUGGUGGUUGCUGUGUUUCUAUCAAUCCAUCUUUGAUAAGGGCUAUAUCUAAGUAAUAUUAUCGACAGGUUUCCGUUACACAUACAUUGGGACCAGUACCAACUUGUACUCGCUACAUUUUUGUUUAACUCAAGGUUUCUCAUUAUGCAAUGCCCAGUUCACAACAGCAUCUUUCUCAAAGGAAAAUUAACACAAAUUUUAAAUCAAUUUUUGUAAUUUUGUUUAAUGUUAGAGGGAUGACAACCAGAACACUGAGAAAUAGGGAUACUGGAAGGAGUGUGCACAACACAAUGAUAAAUUUGAAAUUGUGAACUAUAGAGUAGGGGAUCCACUUUACAAGGACAUGAGUAUGCAAAACAGUUUUGUUGGUAGAAACUUGAUGUUUGACAUCAUGACACUCAAUUUUAGCUUAUGUUAGAAGGAUGACUACCACUAUCUGAGAAAUGCAUGUGGUAAAAAAAUUCCAUUCAGAACAAGUACAAAUAUAAAGAAGAUGCAUGUUUAUGAGCAGGAAGUAUAUGGAGUAAUUAAAUCAAGAUAUAAUCCAUCUGGUUCAUUAGAACAAAAUAUCUGCAAAGAAAUGUAUAGCUAAGAAAAGGUGUUCAGACACAUAUAUACACUAAAAAAAUAAAAAUCCAUUUGAGCUCCUAGAUUUUUUAAUGAAAUGAUAGCAAAUCUUCACUGACCACACUGCUCAUUGUUUAGUACAUAUGGUGCCACAUGAGUGUGUUCACAUACCAUCUUUUCAGUCUGCAUCAAAUAACUACGUUCUGUUCAAGCUGAACAGUUGCACAGGGCCCCUUUGUAUUAGAACUUAACAGCAGAACUGAUUUAUCAUGCUGCAUCAGAAAAUACCUAUCCCCUUCAUGCACCUGACCUGAUCAGCUGAUGGAACCAGCUGUGGAUGAACCUCCUACAAUUAAUUCUUGCAAGAGAAUUUCAUGAUGACAACAUUGUAAUUUAUUUCAAAACUCUCUGAUCCUUUGUACUCCAUUAAAAUCACUCAUAUUAUCACAGCCAACAAAUUAUACAUGUUGAUUCAUACAACUUUCUUUUCACUACAGGUAUAUAGUCAGUAUCAAAAAAGAUGAAAAGUGCAAUCACAGGGCCAGAGAUUGUAACAAAAAUUUGAGACACAUCAUUAGGAACAUUUUUUUUUUUCCAGUUCCUUUGCUGUUGGGCAAGGAUUACAUUCUAUUUCUCUUUUCAUAAUGUUCAAGGUUUGCUGAGCAACUUACUUUCAUCACUCAGGCCUUGCUUUUAUGCUCUGGGAUAGACGCCUUGCCACCAUCUUUGAACUUCUAAACUUGUACCCACCAGUACACAGUUGUCUUUCAAACUCCAAUAAUACUAAUUGUUUCUUUAACUAGUUUCAUUCCUUGGCACAAUGCCACUACAAAUGCUAUUUCAUCACUAGUAAUGGGCAUUUUAGUAGCCAUUGGCAGGAGAUAUGUAAAGAUAUGCAACAUUAACUUGCGAAAGUUAUCUCUGGAGUGCAAGCACGAAAAACAUCUUGUCACUCAACUAUCAAAUUUACAUAAAACUGUUAAUGUGUGAGAGUACCGAAGGUCAUUGUGUGUCUUGAGUUAUCAUAUCAGAUAUUGUCAGUGCUCCAUUCUCCUAUGUAACCUAAUGGACUAGCUGAAUGACAUGUGGACGUUUACA